rnacentral:rRNA from 1 species
CUGGCGGUAUGCUUAACACAUGCAAGUCGAACGAGACGAGAUGGAAGGAUCCUCGGGUGACGGAAAUCUUAGAAAGUAGGCAACGGGUGAGUAACGCGUGGGUAACCUGCCCUAUGGAAAGGAAUAGCCUCGGGAAACUGGGAGUAAUGCCUUAUAAUACAUUGAAGUCGCAUGGCUUUGAUGUUAAACGCUCCGGUGCCAUAGGAUGGACCCGCGUCCCAUUAGCUAGUUGGUGAGAUAACAGCCCACCAAGGCGACGAUGGGUAACCGGUCUGAGAGGGCGAACGGUCACACUGGAACUGAGACACGGUCCAGACUCCUACGGGAGGCAGCAGUGGGGAAUAUUGCGCAAAUGGGGGAAACCCUGACGCAGCAAUACCGCGUGAGUGAAGAAGGUUUUCGGAUCGUAAAGCUCUGUUAUUGGGGAAGAAAAAAGACGGUACCCAAGAAGAAAGUCCCGGCUAACUACGUGCCAGCAGCCGC